CCCUUAGACGUUCUGGGCCGCACGCGCGCUACACUGAUGCGCUCAACGAGUUUUAACCUUGCCUGGAAAGGUUGGGUAAUCUUUUUAAAACGCAUCGUGAUGGGGAUAGAUUAUUGCAAUUAUUAAUCUUCAACGAGGAAUUCCUAGUAAGCGCAAGUCAUCAGCUUGCGUUGAUUACGUCCCUGCCCUUUGUACACACCGCCCGUCGCUCCUACCGAUUGAAUGGUCCGGUGAAGCGCUCGGACCGCGGCCUCUUGACGGUUCGCUGUCGAUUGGCUGUGGGAAGUUCGUUAAACCUUAUCAUUUAGAGGAAGGAGAAGUCGUAACA
rnacentral:rRNA from 1 species